rnacentral:rRNA from 1 species
UACGUAGGGCGCAAGCGUUGUCCGGAAUUAUUGGGCGUAAAGAGCUCGUAGGCGGCCUGUUACGUCUGCUGUGAAAUCCCGGGGCUUAACCCCGGGCGUGCAGUGGAUACGGGCAGGCUGGAGGUAGGUAGGGGAGAAUGGAAUUCCCGGUGUAGCGGUGAAAUGCGCAGAUAUCGGGAGGAACACCGGUGGCGAAGGCGGUUCUCUGGGCCUUACCUGACGCUGAGGAGCGAAAGCGUGGGGAGCGAACAGG